UUACUGUUGGUAUUAGAUGGCUACUAGUGUUGGUAUUAGGUGGCUAUUACUGUUGGUAUUACGUGGCUAUUACUGAUGGUAUUAGAUGGCUACUACUGUUGGUAUUAGGUGGCUAUUACUGUUGGUAUUAGGUGGCUAUUACUGUUGGUAUUAGGUGGCUAUUACUGUUGGUAUUAGAUGGCUAUUACUGUUGGUAUUGGGUGGCUAUUGCUGUUGGUAUUUGGUGGCUAGUACUGUGUGGGUAUUAGGUGGCUAUUACUGUUGG